GCCAGUGUAGUGUAGUGGUUUGAGAGUUAGACUAGGACUCUGGGGAACAGGGUUCAAAUCCCGGCUCAGCCA